rnacentral:rRNA from 1 species
AUUGAACGCUGGCGGCAGGCCUAACACAUGCAAGUCGAACGCGUGGCGGACGGGUGAGUAAUGUCUGGGAAACUGCUCUAUGGAGGGGGAUAACUACUGGAACCGGUAGCUAAUACCGCAUACCAUCGGAUGUGCCCAGAUUGGAUUAGCUAGUAGGUGGGGUAACGGCUCACCUAGGCGACGAUCCCUAGCUGGUCUGAGAGGCUGACCAGCCACACUGGAACUGAGACACGGUCCAGACUCCUACGGGAGGCAGCAGUGGGGAAUAUUGCACAAUGGGCGAAAGCCUGAUGCAGCCAUGCCGCGUGAAUGAAGAAGGCCUUCGGGUUGUAAAGUACUUUCAGCGAGGAGGCGGUACUCACAGAAGAAGCACCGGCUAACUCCGUGCCAGCAGCCGCGGUAAUAC